UGCCUCAGUAACGGCGAGUGAAGCGGCAACAGCUCAAAUUUGAAAUCUGGCUCUUUCAGGGUCCGAGUUGUAAUUUGUAGAAGAUGCUUUGGGUGUGGCUCCGGUCUAAGUUCCUUGGAACAGGACGUCAUAGAGGGUGAGAAUCCCGUAUGUGACUGGGUGCUUUCGCUCGUGUAAAGCUCUUUCAACGAGUCGAGUUGUUUGGGAAUGCAGCUCAAAAUGGGUGGUAAAUUUCAUCUAAAGCUAAAUAUUGGCCAGAGACCGAUAGCGCACAAGUAGAGUGAUCGAAAGAUGAAAAGCACUUUGGAAAGAGAGUUAAACAGUACGUGAAAUUGUUGAAAGGGAAGCGCUUGCAACCAGACUUGCAUACUGUUGAUCAUCCGAGCUUCUGCCCGGUGCACUCGAUAGUAUUCAGGCCAGCAUCGGUUUUGGUGGGCGGAUAAAGGCCUUGGGAAUGUAGCUUCUUUCGGGGAGUGUUAUAGCCCUCGGUGCAAUGCGCCCUACCGGGACCGAGGACCGCGCUUCGGCUAGGAUGCUGGCGUAAUGGUUGUAAGCGACCCGUCUUGAAACACGGACCAAGGAGUCUAACAUCUAUGCGAGUGUUUGGGUGUCAAACCCAUACGCGUAAUGAAAGUGAACGGAGGUGAGAACCCUUAAGGGUGCAUCAUCGACCGAUCCUGAUGUCUUCGGAUGGAUUUGAGUAAGAGCAUAGCUGUUGGGACCCGAAAGAUGGUGAACUAUGCCUGAAUAGGGUGAAGCCAGAGGAAACUCUGGUGGAGGCUCGCAGCGGUUCUGACGUGCAAAUCGAUCGUCAAAUUUGGGUAUAGGGGCGAAAGACUAAUCGAACCAUCUAG
rnacentral:rRNA from 1 species